GCAGUGGUGGUUCAGUGGAAGAAUCCUUGCCUUUCAUGCGGGAGACCUGGGUUUGAUUCCCUGCCAAUGCA
rnacentral:tRNA from 1 species